UCGAGGGAGGAUCCAACCAUCCAAAUCGGCGGACCUCCGGACAACCUUCAAGUUCGGCACGAUGGCGAUGCAUGUCCGCCCAACCUUCAAAUCGGCGGACAGCGACGCAAGGCUGACCAACCUUUAAGUCCGGCACGACGGAGACGCACGGCGGACCGUCUAUAACUUGCAAAUCCUUGUUCGGUAACCAUUAAUACCAAACCUACCCGCAAUCUGGUUGCCGGAGGAUCACGGUACUCUCCAGUGGUUCCGUUGCGUAGCGCCACCCGUUCAGAUCCACCAUUUACGUCGAAGAUACAACAUUUUUAUGCUUUUAUUGAAAGAUUUUGAAAUGGGUUCUAUUUUUGUUUGUUUAUUUAAUAACUGAUAGGGUUUUUUUCAAAUCAUAUUUUUUUUUCUAAUCAAAUUAAUAAUCAUCAGGUUGCAUUUUUAGUUUGUUGAAAAAAUUGUAUUAAUGGUGAGUUUGAUCUCCUGUACAAUGUUUUGAUAAAUUCAUGAAAAAGCUUCAUCUUUCUUUGUUGAUGAUGUGUUUGGAGUUUUUCAAACGGGUUUGA
rnacentral:lncRNA from 1 species